UUUUUUUUUUUUUUUUUUUUUUUUUUUUUUUUUUUUUUUUUUUUUCC
rnacentral:ribozyme from 1 species